GGAGUCUUGCCCAUCUCAUGCCAAUGAAAUGAGGCAGAGCGUCUCACUAUGUAGCUGAGGAUAGCCUUGAGUUCAUGACAAUCUUCCUGUCCCUACUGUGGCCUCUCCAUGUCUGAAAGUGUUGGGUUGCCAUAUCAAGCCUUUCAUUCUUUAAGCAAGAAAAAAAAAAAAACCAAACAAACAAACAAAAAAAAACUCCUUUCCCUCCACUUGAGAAAAUGUUGCCAGUAGAUGGCGCAUGGGAGGCAGCUUCACGGUUUGCGGGGCUACACUGCCCUCGUGUGGCUAUAAGAAGAAAUACAGGGUGUCCUCCACCUCUUGACAGCUUUGGUAAGCCUUGGGUGAAGCCAGAGAAUAUGAAUACCCUGUCCAUCCCUGCCAGUUCUCCCCAUCAGCCUUGCUUUCCGGGAGACACAUUUCCUACUACCAGUUUCAACGUAGACGGGCUGUCAAGGCAGCUGAACUACUCUGAGCAAACUCUCGUGAAGGCAUGACAUCAGCGGGUGACCAGCCCAUAUCUGUCCUUCAUCCCUGUCGAGUCUACAACAAACAUUCACAGGGCACCCAAUAGGUGGGAAGCACCGGGCAGCCUGUAGUGGACACUGAAUGUGAAUGGCGUUGUGGACCAGCGUGUGUAUGGGGGGUGGGGGGGGGAGGGGGCUCAAGUGGUGAGAUUCUGUCCCUCUGCUUUCCCCUCCCAAGUGCCCUCACUUUCUGGAAACCACAGGACAGAAAUGCCUUCGGACGCAUCUGAGUUGUUGCGUAUGACAUGGUUAAUUUCCACACUGAAGAUGUGCAGAUGGUUUAUUCAGUCAACAAUGGAAGAAUAACUGAAUUGUUCCCAGUUUGGGGCUAAUUAGAACUAAAACUGGAGCUGUGUUCACGAGGUAGAACCCCUGCCUAAAAUGCACAAAGCCUGA
rnacentral:lncRNA from 1 species